UGAGAACUAUGCCUAAAAUUACCUGGCAUGCCUCUAAUUUGCAAGUGACUUUAAUGGUGACGCAAUUCCUUCUUAUUAGAUCAUAUCAUACAGUGGUGUAGGAUGUUGGCUAUAAUUGCAUCCGACAUCAGGCGCUACUGAAUGCUGCCCUCAGGGUUGUCACUCCCUCUCGUCAGCGGCAUCACUAUUGCGGACUCAUCAUAAAGCUUUUGACAUAUUCCAGUGAUAUAAGCCAGGCUUGCAGGUUACUUGUGUUUGACCGUCAAGAUGAGAGCUGUUAAUUUCUCGGGAACGGGCGUUCUCACAUGAAGAGUACCAGGUCUGCCGUUAUUCGGGGUCCUACUUGUAAAAGAUGUGUGCGUCUCAGAGACACUUGUUGUCUGUUUUUAAGAUGGAUUUCGAUGCGUUUUAACGCAAAAAAAGAUCUGCUGAUGAUUGCAGAAUUCCGCAAAACGUCUCCUACUUUACAUCAGAGUUGGCCCUCGGGGGAAUGCUGUGAUAAUCCAGUCGGCGCUAUACAUAAAAUCUGUAGGCCAACCACAACCUUUGAUUUACCUGAGUAGAUAGGACGGACAUUGCAGCAACGAACUCAGUGUUCGUGGAAACUUGAAGGUUAAUAGAUUACCUGCUGUUAAAAUUUGAAAACAGAUCGGACGUGAUCAAAACAUAUCACUGCCAAUCUAGCGAA